GAUGAAGAACGCAGCGAAAUGCGAUAACUAAUGUGAAUUGCAGAAUUCAGUGAAUCAUCGAGUCUUUGAACGCACAUUGCGCCCCCUGGUAUUCCGGGGGGCAUGCCUGUCCGAGCGUCAUUGCUGCCCUCAAGCACGGCUUGUGUGUUGGGCUCCGUCCCCCCGGGGACGGGUCCGAAAGGCAGCGGCGGCACCGAGUCCGGUCCUCGAGCGUAUGGGGCUUGUCACCCGCUCUGUAGGCCCGGCCGGCGCCAGCCGACAACCAAUCAUCCUUUUUUCAGGUUGACCUCGGAUCAGGUAGGGAUACCCGCUGAACUUAAGCAUAUCAAUAAGCGGAGGA
rnacentral:misc_RNA from 1 species